AACGCACGAGACCUGCGGACCUGCGGAAGGAUCAUUAGUGAACGCCCUCACGGGCUUAUAACUAUUCCAAACCUCUGUGAACCGUGCCCUUUGGGGCUAUUUUACAAACAUGGUGUAAUGAACGUCAUAUAUCAUAACAAAACAAAACUUUUAACAACGGAUCUCU
rnacentral:misc_RNA from 1 species